UACGAAGGGGGCUAGCGUUGCUCGGAAUCACUGGGCGUAAAGGGUGCGUAGGCGGGUCUUUAAGUCAGGGGGGAAAUCCUGGAGCUCAACUCCAGAACUGCCCUUGAUACUGAAGGUCUUGAGUUCGGGAGAGGUGAGUGGAACUGCGAGUGUAGAGAUGAAAUUCGUAGAUAUUCGCAAGAACACCAGUGGCGAAGGCGGCUCACUGGCCCGAUACCGACGCUGAGGCACGAAAGCGUGGGGAGCAAACAGG
rnacentral:rRNA from 1 species